UAACAUUUUCAAUUUUUCUUUCUUUUGACUAGCAAGUUCAAGUUUUUUAUGUUUGCAUUUAUUGAUAUACUUGGACUUUAUUCUGCCAUCUUAUUAUUUUUAUUUAACUUAUCCUUUUUUUUCUGUUUUUCUUUUUUCCCCCCUAAAGUAGUUCAAAAUAGUAUCUCUAACUUAAUCUAAAGACCUUUAGCAUAUUCUCACUUUUUUUGGUCUCUACAACACUGCUUCUUCUAGUCCAGGUCAAGAUAAGGAGCUUUCACUAGAAUGUACAUCAACAACGGUGUCACUUCUGACACAGCUUAGUUCCACCUACUAUUUAUUUCUGCUGACAUUGUUUUUAUAGUAAGUCUUCCUUUUUAAAAGAAACAGUGCCUUCUUGUUCCUUUCAGUCAUUUUCUUACUCUGCAAGAACUUUAUAUAAAUGAAGCCAUAAGCAUGUACUAGUUUAUGUCUGGCUUCUUUCAUUAAUAUGUAUUUGUGAGUUGUAGUUUCUUUAUUCUUGUUGUAUCAUAUUCCUUUAUGUGAAAAUACUACAACUUAUCUUAUUGUUCAUGGGCAUUUAGGUUGGUUCCAGUUUCUAGCUAUUAGAGUAUGCACUAUUGUGAAGAUUUUGAUGUAUGUUUUUAUUGGUGAAUAUUUAUUCAUUUUUGGUGGGAAAAUGUGUAUGAGAGAGAUUUCUGGGUUAUAGGCCAUGCUGUUGUAUAAAGAUGCUGUCGGUUUUUCAACGUGAUUUUGCCUGUUUACACUCCUCAUUGGCAGUAAAUGAACAUUCUAGAAAUUUCACCUUCUUCUCUAUUCUUGGUGCUUUCUGCUUUUUGCAUUUUUGAUAUUCUGGAGUGGGUAUAGUAGUAUUGCAUUGAGAUCUUGUCAUAUUUUUUGAUAACUUCUCGCAGAGCACCUUCACAUAUGUUUAUUGGGCAAUGAGGUUAUAUACUCUUGAAUCAAGUGUCUUCUGUUGGGUUAUUUGUAGUUUUUCUUAAUGAUUUGUAAAAAUUCUUGAUAUUUUUGGAUAUAAAUCUUUUAUUUUGUGUCAAUAUGUAGACAUUUGUAUGCAUGUGUGUAUUUACAUUUUAUAUAUGUAGAUUAUAUUCUCUACUGGGAGUUGCUUUUGAAAUCUCCUUAUAGUGUCUAUUGAUGAUAUAACUUACCAAUUUUGAUAUUGUCCAAUUUUGCAGGUUUCCUCUUUGUUGUUACCAAUUUUUUAAACUGUUUGUGAAGUCUUUUCCCACCUUAAUAUCCUGAAUAUUUGUUUCAGUGGUUUACUCUAAAAGCAUAGAAGGAUUUUUUGUUUUUUGUUUGUCUUUUGAGAAAGCCUCGCUCUAUCACCCAGGAUGGCAUUCAGUGGCACAAUAUUGGCUCACUGUAACCUCCACCUCCUGAGUUCAAGCAGUUCUUCUCCCUCAGCCUCCUGAGUAGCUGGGAUUACAGGCAUCUGCUACCCUGCCCAGCUGAUUUUUGUAUUUUUAGUAGAGAUGGGGUUUCACCAUCUUGAUCAGGCUGGUCUCAAACUCUUGACCUUGUGAUCAGCCUGCCUUAGCCUCGCAAAGUGCUGGGAUUACAGGUGUGAGCCACCAAGCCUGGCAAGCGUUAUUUAUUUUUAAUCUUUUACAUUUAGGUCUGUAGUCCAUCUGGAAAUUAUUUUUGAGUAUGGCAUGAGAUAGUGGUCAAGAUUAAUUUAUUUUAAAGUCAUCUUUCCUGCACUGUACUAUAGGAUCAUGUUUGUCAUAAAUCAGUGACUGCAUAUAUAAAUAUUUUAUUGCAUAGACAAAUAUUUAUGUUUAUUUUGUCAGUUAUAUGUUGUUUUUAUUUUUGUAGCUUUAAAAUACAUUUUGCCUGCCUGGUAGUGUAAGUCUUCCAACUUUGUUCUUUUCCAAGAUUUCCCUAGCUCUUCUUAGCCUUUUAUAUUUCCAAUUAAAUAUUAGAAUGAGCUUGUCAGUUUCCAGAAAUGACCUACAGGGAUUUUGAAUGGGAUUGCAUUGAAUUUAUAGAUAAGUUUGGAGAGAAUUAACAUACUUAUCAUGGAGAUAUAAUCCUCCAUUUAUUUCAGACUUUAGAAAUACUUCUUGCUAAUGUAUUGUACUUUUCUAUGAAAUGUUACACAUAUUUGAUUUUGACACUGUAAGUGGUACUAUUUUUAUAAUUUUAUAAGUUUUUUCUGUAUGUACAAAUAUACCUGAUUUUUGUUUGAUGCGUUUUCUAAUAAUCUUGUGAAUUCACUUACUUUCUAUAAUAAUUUGCCUAUGGAUGUUUUUGGAACUUGUAUAUACACUAUAUAAUCAUACCAUUGGCAAAGUUGCCUCACCACCCCAGGACUACCCCUAUACACGAGUUAGGACCACCAAUAUAAUAUUGAAUUGAAAUGGUGAUAGAAUUUCAGAGAAAAAGUUUUAAAAGUUCACCAUUAAAGUUUUUGUGGGGCAAUUGAGAGGGGGAUUUAUCAGAGUAUGGAAAUUCUCUUUUGUUUGCUGAAUUUUUGUUGUGAAUGAAUAUUAAGUUUUACCAAAUGCUUUCUCUAUAUAGUGAAAUAUAUUUUUCUGUUAGUGUGUUAGAUUGCAUGUCUUAAUUUUCAAAUAGUAGAAUACCUUUCCAUUCUUAGAAUACAUUCACUUGGUUGUGAUGUAUUAUCUUUUCAAAUGUUAAACUAGAUUUUCUAAGUUUUUAAAUUUUAAAAUUAGUUUUAAAAAUUAAUUUUUUAAAAAGAGAUAGGGUCUUAGUAUAUUGUCCAGGCUGGCUUUGAACUCCUGGGCUGAAGUGAUUCUCCCCCAUGGUCUCUUAAAUAGUUGUGACUACAGGUGCAUGCCACCAUACCCAGCUCUGCUAACAUUCUAUGAUUUUGUGUAUGUUCAUGAGCAAGAUUGUUCAACUCUGUAAUUUUCUUUUUGAUGUUGCCAUGUUUUGGUAUCGAGAUCAUGCUGGCUUUAUAAUGAGUCAAGAAGUGUUUCUUAUUUUUCUGUCCUUUGAAAGAGUUUGUGUACAACUGAUGUACUUAUGCCUUAAGUAUGUAAAAAAAUUCACCAGAAUUCAGCCUUCUGGACCUGGAGUUUUCUUUAUGAGAAGGUGCUUUUUUUUUGGGGGGGGUGUGGUGGUGGGGGAGAUGGAAUCUCGCUUUAUCACCAGGCUGCAGUGGCACGAUGCCGGCUCACUGCCACAUCCGCCUCCCGUGUUCAAGCGAUUCUCCUGCCUCAGCCUCCUGAGAAGCUGGGAUCACAGGCGAGCAGCACCACGCCCAGCUAGUUUUUGUAUUUUUAGUAGUGAUGGGGUUUCACCAUGUUGACCAGGAUGGUCUCAAUCUCCUGACCUCAUGAUCUGCCUGCCUCGCGCUCCUAAAGUGUUGGAAUUGUAGGCGUGAGCCACCGUGCCCAGCCUAUGAGAAGGUUUUUAAUAACAUUUAAUUUUUAGAUACUGGAAUAUUAAAAUUUGUAUGUAUAUUCAUGUUGGUUUUUGAGAAUUAGAUUAUUUCAUCUAAAUUUGUCAUUUGUUGGUGAAAGUUGUUUAGGAUCAUCCAACUUUUUUAACAUCUUUAGGGUUUUAUAGUGACGUCUGCUUUUCAUUCGUGAUACUGGUAAUUGAUAUUUCCCCUGUUUUUGUUUUUUUUUUCUUUUCCAAGAAUCAAAUUUGGGCUUUGCUGAUUUUUCUGUUUUGCUUAUUUUCUGUUUUUAUUGAUUUUGGUUUAUAUCUUUAUUUAUUUCCUUCUACUUUUCUUUAGUUGAAUUUGUUUUUUUUUUUUUUCCAAAGUUUUUGACAUGGAAACUAGAUAAUUGUUUUUCACCCUUUUUCCCUUCUCUGGCACGUGAUUCAAUUCUCACAAAGAGAAGGCUUUAUUAUUUGGGAAAGAAAACAUUCAGUAAGCACCCUAGUAGUAAACAUAGCAGUUUCUUUUUUUUGUGCUUUGUUUUAAAAUUAUGAAUUAUCAGGCAUGUUGUAUAGGCUGUUUUCCUUAAUGCAUUUAUAUAUCCAUGAACAGUAUACAGUAUGGUUUUGCAUGUGUUUUACAACUUCAGUAAGUGAUAUAUAAUAUUCUACAGAUUCCUUUUUUAAUCUCAAUUGUAUAUUUUUCUGUAUAUGUGUAUUUAUAUUGUAGUUCAAAUUUAUUUUUAUUACUUUAUGAUAUUUGAAUAUAACAGUAUUUUUCUGUUCCCCUGAUAAUCGACAUUUCAGUUAUUCUUCAUUGCUAAUAAUAAUAUCUACAUGGUGUAGCAGUGAACAUUCGGAUUAAAUUCUUUUUGAUCAUGUAAGUCAAUUUCUUUAGGAUAGAAACCUAGCAAUAGCAUUCCUAGCAUAUAAAACUAGGAAUAGUGUAUUUUCAACUUUAUUAGGUAUUAACCAAACUUCUCCCUAAAAUGAUCCUACCAGUGUAUACCUUUGAGUAGAGGAUGAGGAUUUAUGUCACUCCUUAUCUUAACCCCAUAUGUCAUCUGACUUUAACAUUUUAACCAGUCUGGUGAGUGUGAGAUAAUGCAUAAUUUUAAUUUACAUUUAUACCAUUGUUGGUUUUGUCAUUUUUUCACAUAUUUUACUGGCUGUUUUGUUUCCUUUUAUGUAAAUUUUUUAAUUCAGUGAUUUUUUCAGUUGGGUUGUUUUGUCAUUUUUCUUACUGGGGAAAAGUUUUUUAUGUGGUUGGAAUUUAAUUUUUGUUAAAUGUGUUGCAGAGAAUUUUCUCUAAGCCCAUGGCUUCUAUUUAGUUUUUGUAUCUUUUUACCAUUCAUAGUUUUAAAUUUUGACAAAUUUAGUAAUGUUUUUCUUUAUGGUUUUUGCUUCACAUGCUCAUGUAUACGUGUGUGUGUAUAAGACACCCUUUCCCAUCCUAAGGCCAUGCAGGUAUUUUGUUUAAUAAGCGGUAUUAUUGCAUAAUGAUUAAGAGCCAGAGCUCUGGAACACGCUAAGUUAGAACCCCACCUCUGUCAUGUACUUGCCAUGUCUCCUUGGAUUCUCUGUGUUCCUUUUUAAAAAAUAUAGAUGAUAAUUUUACCCACCUCCAGGGUUGAUGUUAGGAAGUCCACCUGGAUAGUAUGACAGGCAUGUGAUUCCCUCGUGAUACUGGUUGUUGAGUAUUUUGAGUAUCAUCUCUGAUUAACUCAUGAGAUUACUAUGAACAGUAACCGAGGUCAUACAUAUAAAGUACUUAUUAAUGCCAGGGAUAUAACAAGAGCUCAACAGAUGUUUAUUAUGUUAUCUUCUAAUUGUUUUGUUUUACAUUUAAGACUUUAAUUCAUCUGAAGUUGAUAUUAGGCACAAUAAUUUACACUCAUUAAUAUUCUUCCGUGAUAUACUUGGGGUACUAUGCAGAAAAGAAUUAAUGUCACAGGUUCUAAGAUUGCUUCUUGUUAGAUAACCUGCUUGAAUGGUUGGCCCUUGGCUGGUAAACAGUUCCCUAUAUAGAACUUUUCAUAAAUGCUAAGAGUGUGGUAGGUUUGCUGUGCCUAAACUGUUUGCACAAAUAAUGUGAUUUAUGCUGAAUACCUGAUUUCCUUCUGGGAGUCUGGAAUUUUGGUAUGUGUGAGGCAGAGUGUACCCACAUGACCAUCCCCCAGUGAAAACCUUGGGAGCUGAGUUUCUUAGGAACAUCCAUAGUGGACAAGACUGCGUACUCUUUGCAUGUGUUGUCACAACUGGUUGGUAGAGGAAUUAAGUACAUCCUAUGUAACUCCAUUGGGAGAGGACUUUUGGAAGCUUAUACCUGAUUUUGCCCCAUGUGCCUUUUCCUUUCUUAUUUUGCUUUGUAUCCUUCUGCUGGAAUAAAUUUUAGUUGUUACUAUUACUGUAUGCUGAAUCCUUUGACUCCUCUUAGUUAAUUGUCUAUCUUGGCCAUGGGCUUGGGGACUCCUGACACAGGUACUGAUAUGAAGUUAUCUUUGUUUACUGCAUGAUUGCACCUUUUUUUUUUGUUUGUCAUCUUUUAUAUUAAUCCUUUGGAAUAGCUAUGGACUACCUAUUACCUUUGGUUUCAGACUAGGAUGAAUUCUAGAGGAGCUGAGCAAUUGGCACUGAUAGGUUGGGAAGGAGUUUACUACUUGUUACACCACUGUCUGUCUGGGAUUCUUGAUUUUCAGCCUUAUAUAUGCUCAGGCUAACUCAGAAUUUUUGAACUCAGUAAACUUUUAAUUGAUAUUUAAGUUUCUUGAAAUUUAAAUAUACCAUUUUUUUUCUGGUAAAUAUUAUUACAGUCAUAUUGUAUGUGCACAGUCUUAGGCAAAAAAACAUUUAUUUCUCUUGUAAGCAUCAGUGAACCAUUCUCAGAAUCUUCUUUGCAGCAAUGCUGUGACCAGUGUGAGAGCUCUCAUUGAAGAAUAGUUGAACUACAAUGUCAUGAUGAUUGAUUUUCUAAAACUAAAAUAUUUAGGAGGUGAUAAUUUUAAAUCAUCACAUGGAGUGCCUUUAUUUUUGGAAUGAUUUUUAUAGGAGGCCCAAAGAAGUAUUUGAAUCAGAUGAUCACUGAAAGUAUCUGGCUUUAUUUUUGUUUUAUCAGUCUUGCUUUAUCUUCAUUUAGUGGACAAGUUUAAUUCCUUAUUUAAAUGAGAUUCUUGUUCACUUUAAAAAGUAGAUCCAGAAACUUACUUGAAUGCUUUCGACACACCAAUAAGUAAUUAUGACUUCAUUUUCAUGAGGCUAACAUGCUUUGUUAUACAUUUCUUUAUCUGUGUUUUACUAAGGGGAGAGCUGGCUAAAUUUGGAUUUUUACCUUGUGAUUGAUGUAGCUAGACUUUAUUGAGAUUUAAAUGUCUGCUGAAUGUCAUAAUAUUCUUAGCAGUGUUUGUGUGGGUAUGUGAGUUUCUUAGAUUAUUUGUACUGAAUUUUGGAAUUUCUCUAGUCCAACAAUAUAGAAGAAGAAUAUAAAAAUAUCAAGCCCGGCUUAUAUUUGCCUUAUUUAGUUUUGAGUUUUAAAAUGAAUUUAGGAAGUUUUUAAUUGCUCUCUAAUUUUGUAUCUGUGCCAUUUUACUUAGCUUGGGUUAUACUCUAAGAAAGAGACCAGAGAUUCUUUAAUCUUUCUAAUGCAUAUUCACAUAUGCUAUCUCAGGUGGUUGCACCUUGUCUACAUUUUGCUAGUUUUUCACUUUAUUUAAUAGUAUUAUACUACUGUCAGACUGUUUUCAUUAAACUCUGGUGAGAGCAUAUUGCUCUUUAAAUCUGUGUCUGAAUAACAAAGAUCAGAGCAUAACUAAAUGAAAUUGAAAUGACAAAAUCAUAAAAAUAAUCAGUGAAAUGAAGAGUUAGUUCUUUGUAAGGAUAAACAAAAUUGACAGGCUGCUAGCUAGAUUAGCCAAGAAGAAAGAAAAAGGAUUCAGAUAGGCAUGAUCAGAAGUGAUAAAAGUGAUUUUACAAUUGAUACCGUGGAAAUACAAAAGAUCAUCAGAGAUUGCUGUAAACAUCUCUGUGUGCACAAACUAGAAGACCUAAAGGAAAUGGAUAAAUUUCUACAAACAUAUAACAUCCCAAGAUUGAACCAGUAAGAAAUGAAAAUAAUGAAUAAUGAAGUGAAAUCGGUCAUAACCAAAAAAAUACCAACCAAAAAAAGCCCAAGACGAGACAGAUUCAGAGUGGAAUUUUACCAGGCAUACAAAAGAGCUGGUAUCAAUCUUACUGAAACUGUUCCAAAAAAUUGAGGAGGAGGAAUCCCUAACUCAUUCUAUAAAACCAGUAUCAUCUUGGUACCCAAAUCUGGCAAGGACACAACAAAAAAAGAAAACUGCUGGCCAGUAUCCCUGAUGACCACACAUGCAAAACUGCAACAAAAUACUGGCAAACCAAAUCAAAGAGCAAAUUAAAAAGAUCCAUCAUGAUCAAGUGGGUUUUAUUUUAGGAAUGCAAAGAUGGUUCAACAUAUAUACAUCAAUAAAUGUGUUUCACCACAUAAGUAGAUUAAAAACAAAAUCUAUAUGCUUAUCUCAAUAUAUGAAGAGAAAGCAUUUGAUAAAAUCCAAUAUCCCUUCAUGAUAAGAACCCUAAGCAAACUAGGCAUCAGAGGAACAUACCUCAAAGUAAGAGCUCUGUAUGAUAAACCCAUAGCCAGUAUUAUACUGAAUAGGCAAAAGUUGAAAGCAUUUCCCCUAAGAACUGGAAGAAGACAAGGAUAUCCACUCCCAUCACUCUUAUCAACAUAGUUCUAGCCAGAGCAAACAGGCAAGAGAAAAAACUAAGUCAUCCAAAAUAUAAAAGAUGAAGUAAAAUUAUCUAUUGGUUGCUGACAUGAUCUCAUACUCAGAAAACCCUAAAGAUUCCUCUUUAAGACUUUUAGAAUUUAUAAACAAUUUCAGUUAAGUUUCAGAAAAUUAAUAUACAAAAAUUAGUGGCAUUUCCAUACAUCAUCAGUGAUCAAACAGAACCGAAAUCCAUUUACAAUAGACACACACACACACACACACACACACACACACACCCCUAAGAAUACAUUUAACCAAGGAGGUGAAAGACCUCUACAAGGAGGAGUAUAAAACACUGAUGAAAGAAAUCGUAAGUGAUACAAACUGAUAAACAUUUUAUUCUUAUGGAUUAGAAGAAUAUUAUUUAAAUUACCAUACUGCUCAAAGCAAUUUACAGAUUCAAGGCAAUUCCCACUAAAUUGCCAACAUCAGUUUUUACAGAAUUAGUUCCUAACCUAAAAUUCAUGUGGAACUAAAAACAGGCUAAUAGCCAAAACAAUUCUAAGCAAACAGGACAAAGCUAGAGGCAUCACAUUACUUGACUUCAAACUAUACUACAAAGCUGUAGUAACCAAAACAGCAUGGUACUGGUACAGAAAUAGACACAUUGAUCAAUGGAACAGAAUAGAGAACCGAGAAGUAAAAACACAUACAUAUAUCUGACUGAACUUCGACAGAAUCAACAAAAAUAAACUGUGGGGAAAGGACACCCUAUUCAAUAAAUGGUGCUGGGCAAAUUGGCUAGUCAUGUGCUGAAGAAUGAAACUGGACCCCUGUCUCUCACUAUAUCCCAAAAUUAACUCAAGAUGAAUUAAAGACUUAAAUGCAAGACCUGAAACUAUAAAAAAUCUAUGAAGAAAACUUAGGAAAAACUCAUCUGGACAUUGGCUUAGGCAAGAUAUUGAGUAAGACCUCAAAAGUAAAUGUAACAGAAACAAAAAUAGACAAAUGGGACUUAAUUAAACUUCUGCACAGCAGAAGAAACAACAGAGUAAACAGACAGCCUACAGAAAAUGAGAAAAUAUUUCCAAACCAUGCAUCUGAAAAAUGACCAGUAUUCAGAAUUUACAAGGAACUGAACAAGAAAAAAAUGUAUAACUCCAUUAAAAGAUGGGCAAAGGAUAUGAACAGACAUUUCUCAAAAGAAGACAUACAAGCAGCCAACAAAUGAAAAAAAAAGCUCAACGUCACUAAUCAUUAGAGUGAUGCAAAUCAAAACCACAGUGAGAGUCCGUCUCAUACCAGUCAGAAUGACUAUAAAAAAGUUAAAUAACAUGUUGGUGAGUAUGUGCAGAAAAGGGAAUGCUUAUAACACUGUUGAUGAAAAUGAAAAUUGAAAAUUAGUAUAACCUUUGUGGAAAACAGUACAGAGAUUUCUCAAAGAACUAAAAGUAGAAUUACCAUUUGGUCUAGCAGUCAUACUCCUGGACGUCUACACAGAGAAAAAGUUAUUAUAUCAAAAUGAUAUCUGCACUUGUAUGUUUAUUAUAAUAAACAUAAAUUAUCAAAAUAGCAAAGUCAUGGAAUCAACCUAAGUGUUCAUUAGUAGUUGAUUAGAUAAAGAAAAUGUGGAAUAUAUAUACACCAUAGAAUACUGUGCAACCAUAAAAAAGAAUGAGAGACUGGGCCUGGUGGUUCAUGCUUGUAAUUCCAGCACUUUGAGAGGCUGAGGCAGGCAGAUCACUUGAGGCCAGGAGUUCGAGACCAGCGUCGCCAAUAUGGCUAAAGCCUGUCUGUACUAAAACUACAGAAAUUAGCCAGGCAUGGUGGUGCACACCUGCAAUCCCAGCUACUUGGGAGGCUGAGGCACAAGAAUCACUCGACCCCAGGCAGAGGCUGCAAUGGCGGAGACUGCAGUGAGUUGAGAUAGUGCCACUGCACUGCAGCCUGUGUGACAGAGCAACACUCUGUCUCAGGAAAAAAAAAAAAAAAAAAAAGCUGUAUCCUUUGUAGCAACAUGGACAGAGCUAGAGGUCAUUAUUCUAACUAUAAUAACUCAGGAACAGGAAAUCAUAUACUACAUGUUCUCAUUUGUAGAUGGGAGCUAAACAGUGGGUACACAUGGACAUAAGCAUGGAAAUAGUAGACACUGAGGACUUCAGAAGUGGGGAGGAUGGAUAGGGGUUAAGAGUUGAAAAAUUACCUAUUGGGUACAGUGUUCACUCUUUGGGUGAUGGGUUUCUAGGAGCCCAAACCUCACCAUUAUGCAGUAUGUUCAUGGAGUAAACUCACACAUGUAUCUCAUGAAUCUAAAAUUUAAAAAAAUCUGGCCAGACUCAUGGCUCACGCCUAUAUUCCCAGCACUUUGGGAGGCUGAGGUGGGUGGAGUGCCUGAGUUUACGAGUUCAAGACCAGCCUGGGCAACAUGAUGAAACCCAAUCUCUACUAAAAUACAAAAGAUUAGCUGGGUGUGGCAGCAUGUGCCUGUAAUCCCAGCUACUCAGGAGGCAGAAGCAGGAGAAUUGCUGGAACCUGGAAGGCAUAGGUUAUAGUGAGCUGAGAUCACACUACUGCACUGUAGCUUGGGCUAUGAGAGUGAGACUCUGUCUCAAAAAAAAAUGUAUCCAUGUUCAGGGCCCUUUUUCAUACUGCUGUUAUCUUACCUACAUUCCCAGGCUAAGACCAUUUGAGGUUACUUAUAUUUUUUCUUAAUGCUCUCAUCUGUUCCUCCUUUAAGGCUGUAUUCAGACUUUUAUUUUCUUCCCUCCCCCUAAGGAUUAACUGUUCAGUGAUGAGACCCCAUAGCACUUUAAAUCACACCCUCUGAUUUUCUGCUUUUCUCCUAAGACUCUUUUCAUCUUUUUGUGCUGUGAUACUGACUUAGUGUGUAUAGGUACUCGAUAAAUGGUUCUUUCCAGUUAGAAUCAAUUACUCCAUUCUUCCUACAUCUAAUCAUUUGCUUCCUCCUACUUUUGGCACUUUAUUUUAAUUUGUGGUAUACUACUUUGUAUUGAUCUUCAUACCUGCACUGAAGUAAUUUCAAAGACAAGGACUGGACUUGACUUUUCUUUUUUUUUUUUUUUUUGAGAUAGAGAAUUGCUCUGUCACUCAGGCUGGAGUGCAGUAGUGUGAUCUUGGCUCACUGCAACCUCUGCCUUCCGGAUUCAAGCAAUUCUCCUGCUUCAACCUGCUGAGUGGCUGGGAUUACAGGUGUGCAUCACCGUACUCAGCUAAUUUUUUGUAUUUCUAGUAGAAACGGGGUUUCACCAUGCUGGCCAGGCUGCUCUCAAACUUCUGACCUCUUGAUCUGCUUGCCUUGGCCCCAACAAAGUACUGGAAUUACGGAUGUGAACCACCGCAUCCAACCUGGAUUUUUCUUUAGUAAAAUUCUCAUUUUUUGAGGCUUAUGCCCCUUAGUUCAGGUUUUAUCGUAUGUCCUGCAUCAGUAUUAAGCUGCUUCUCAUUUAUGUGUAUUUAGAUUAUAUUGCUUUAGUUUAGAAUAAAGUCUCAAAUUUUGGUUUAUGAUUCAUAAGGUUAUUUCGUGGCUGGACUUUUCCUUGUUUACAUUUGUCCUGUCACUGUGAAUUAAUAGCCUUUUAAAAAAAUCUUUUCUACUGAGGCCACUGUAGAGUGUUAUUUUCCCCUUUCAUUUAUCCUCAUGAAGUGGUGAGGAGGGUAGAUAGAUGGCUUUGAUGAUCUCUACAAAGUGAUGCAGAAACCAGUGUACUUGUACCUAUUAAAAAGUGACAGCAAAUAGUACAAAUGACUCCUGCUACCUCCUGAGCCAUUUAAACAUAAGCUUCUUACCUGAAGUCCUAUGACCCUUGGAUACUUUAAUGCAGUGAUCCCCAAGCUUUUUGGCACCAGGGACUGGUUUUGUGGAAGACAGUUUUUCUAUGGACUGGGGUGCAGGUGAUGAUGGUUUCAGGGUGAAACUUUUCCAUCUCAGAUCAUCAGGCAUUAGGUUCUCAUAAGGAGUGUGAGCUCAAGUGUGCAGUUCACAAUAGGGUUCACUCUCCCAUGAGAAUCUAAUGCUGCUGGUAAUAUGACAGGAGGCGGAGCUUAGGUGGUAAUGCUCCCUUGCCUGCUGCUCACCUCUUGCUGUGCAGCGUGUUCCUAACUGGCCAUAGACUGAUACUGGUCCAUGGCCUAGGGGUUGGAGACCCUUGCUUUAAUGUAUAUUUCUUGGAAACAAGAACAUUUUCCUAUAUAAUCACAGAAUAACCAUUCACAUCAUGAAAUUAACAUGGAUACAUUACUACCACCAAAUUCUUGGACCCCAUUCAAGUUUCUCCAUUUGACCAAUAAUUUUUAUAUAUAUACAUAUAUAUAUACACACACACACACAUACAUAUGUAUAUAUAUAUUUAGUUGACAAGUGAUCCUUUAUUGAAAUAUUUUCCUUUGUGCUUCUGAACUAGCUGAGCAUUCUGCUGCACCACUGUUUAUGUUAUGUAUUAUCUCAUGAGGGUGGUGGCCAUCAGCAUUGCAGCCCAUAGAUAAGGCAGUCCCCAGGAUCUCUUUAACAGUUCCAGAGAGAGUUCUCUGGCUUAAAGAUCAGUGCCAUAUCUUCGAGCAGUGUUGACAAUUUCAUCAAAAGUGAUAUUUUCACCUUGUUUAAUAUUUUCCUGUUUCUUUCUGUCUCCUAGCCAUUCCUUGAGGGCUUUGAUGAUCAGUGCAGAGGGAGAAGGUACCGCCUCAAUCUGGGUCUGUCUGUUCUGAAUGGUCAGUUUUCCUGUAAUUCUCAGACUCUUCCAGUUGCUGGUUGCUUUGGCAAUUUCAUCACCCACCUUUUUUUGGAGACAGACCCUGGGCACCCAUCUUGGGGGCCAGUGCAGAUGUGGCAUGGACUUUACCCUGGUACACCUCAGGUAUACAACUUUGAUCUCGUUGGGGUGGAACUUCAGCAGUAUGGUGGAGGCAGCUGGUGUCGGAUUAAUCUGGAUUCGGUACAAACAAAGAGAGUUGCACCUUGGCUUCCUCUGAGUGAAAAAUUGAAGGCAAUAAUAUCUUCUAUAGUAAAAAGAUCUAUGUUAGAAUCACAUGAUGGUUUGGUGUAUUAUGGACUUCCGUCUCUUCAGUCUCCUGGCCAGUGAAUGUUCUUUCAAACAGGUUUCUGUGUUUUUUCUUCUAUCAUAAUUCUUUGAGCACUCCCUUGCUCUUUUAUACAAGAUGUUUUAGUCUCAUUUUGCAUUUUUUUCUAGCCUAGGCCUGAAUGAUUUCUAGAACGAAUGAUUUCUUCUAGGGUCCUGGUUCUUUUUAUUGGGAAAUGUUGUUUUAGAGCCAAGUUUUGGGGGCUAGGUAUGCUCACUGCUAUUGAAAAGUUGCUGCUCACAGGCAUCUUCAGUGGUGAGAACUGGGGAAUACACGCCAUCCCCCCCACACACAUGCGCACAAAUGUAUCAAUAUUUAUGUCCACAUUAUAUAUUUUUAAAACCAUGAAUUCAUACUAAUACUUCCUUCCAGUUCUAUCCUAAUACCACAGGAUUCAAUUCUAGUUUUUUCCUUUUCUGUAUUUGCAACCCCUAUCUCUGAUGUUGAGAAACCUAACUUCCAUUAUCCUUAAAAUAUUUACAGUUACACAUCACUUAAUAAUGGGAAUAUGUUCUGAUAAAUGUGUUAGGUAAUUCCAUUGUCAUGCAAGCAUCAUAGAAUGUACUUAACCAAACUUAGAUGUUGUAGCCUACUAUACACCUAGUCUAUAUGGUAUGAGCCUAUUGCUCUUAGGAUACAAACUUGUAUAGCAUAUUACCUUUCUGAAUACUGUAGGCAGUUAUAACAAUAAUAAUUUGUGUAUCUAAGCAUAUCUAAAUAUAGAAAAGGUAAUGCACUGCACUAUGAUGUUAUGACAGUUAUGACAUCAUUAUGUCACUAGGCAAUAGAAAUUUUUCAGCUGCAUUAUAAUCUUAAGGGACCAGUUUUAUAUGCAGUCAGUCAUUGACCAAAAUGUCAUUAUAUGAUGCGUGACUGUUCUUACUUGAUUAACCUCCUUUGUAACCAACUUCUGCCACCAUAUCCUCUUCCACGUCGAAGUCUCAUCCUGUUUGGGGUCUGAAACUUCCACAUUAUUAUGCCUGGGUUAUUUGAAGAAGGAUUUAUGGAGAUUAUCUUGGACAUCUUAACUUCUCUUUUUUUGAGAUGACGUCUUGCUCUUUUGUCCAGGUUGGAGUGCAGUGGUGUGAUCUUGGCUCACCGCAACCUCUGUCUUUUGAGUUCAAGUGAUUCUCUUGCCUCAGCCUCCCCAGCAGUGGGGGUUACAGGCACACACCACUGCACCCGGCUAAUUUUUGUAUUUUUAGUAGAGAUUGGGUUUCACUAUGUUGACCAGGCUGGUCUUGAACUCCUGACCUCAGAUAAUCCGCUCACCUUGGCCUCCCAAAGUGUUAGGAUUACAGGUGUGAGCCACCACGCCAGCCUGGACAUCUUAGUCUUAAUAAUACAGAUGCAGUAUAAAUACUCUAAGAGUUUCACAUGUACCUGGUUUUUUUUUUUCUUUCUUUCUUAUGGAGUCUUGUUCUGUUGCCCAUGCUGGAGUGCAGGGCACAAUCUCAACCUCAGCUCACUUCAACCUCCGCCUCCUGGGUUCAAGUGACUCUCCUGCCUCAGCCUCCUGUAUACUUGGGAUUACAGGCACACACUACCAUGCCCUUCUAAUUUUUGUGUUUUUAGUAGAGAUAGGGUUUCACCAUGUUAACCAAGCUAGUCUCGAGCUCUGAUCUCAAGUGAUCCAUCUGUCUUGGCUUCCAUAAGUGUUGGGAUUACAGGCAUGAGCCACCACGCCUGGCCAGGCAUAUGCCUGUUUCAUUAUCAAAAUGAAUGACAUUAAAAAAUCAUGAAAAAUGCUUCUGUGUAUAAUAACUUUAUAGGAUCUGGAUCAUUUAGUGUGAUUAAUGUGGAGGCUUGGAAUUAGAAGUGUACAGAGAGCUAAAACCUUCAUUUUUUUCAAACAAUAGUUCCAAAUUUGAUGUAAACUUCUCUGAUUUUUAGGGAAUGCAAAUUAGAUUAUCUUGAUGGUCAGUUUAUCUGAUAGUGUUUAAUUAUAAUCAGUCAUGAAAGUGUACAGCAACUAGUGUUGGAAGGACUUGUAAGAAUCCUGAGAUCAGCUCAAUCCUAAAGAUUUGAGAAACAUCUCUUUCAAAAUUAUUUCAAAAGGGAAAAAUAUUGCUUAUAUAGAAAAAAAUAGCACAUAUGAUACUAUGUUUGUUGCGUAUUUGUAGAGAUAAAGAAUUUUCUGUCCUUUAAAUGAAUCUCAUUAAGGAUGCUGGGUAUCCAGAACUUUUUUCUUCUUUUUUUAUAAUUAGGAUCAGACUGAAUAAAAAACAUAUGUGUAAAUAUAUUAGUAUAUUGGUUUUCUCUCAUUGCUGUGACAUAUUACCAUAGUUAGUAGUUUAAAACAGCAUUUAUCUUACCAUUUUGAAGCUCAAGUCCAAAAUGUGUCUUGGGGCAAGGCUGUGUUCCUUUGAAUGCUCUAGGAGAGCAUCUAGGCCUCUCUUCUUUCAUUCACUUGGCCUUUUACUAUUUGGCAAAGCUGUAGUAUAUUUUAUAUGCAGAAAAAUUAGAUGCUAUAAGAUCAAGGUCAUAGAGAUCAUUUAGUCUUAUCCAUUUAUUUCGUAGAUAAAGAUAACUGAGACCUAGAAAGAUAAAGUCACAUAGUUAUUCUAGUCAUUGUUUUUACUGCCACCAUAGAUUUUUGUUGGGUUUCUCCUUUAAGGUAAAGAAGAACCUGUUUAGCACUGUUCUCUGUUUUCUGUCUGUUACCAAAUGACUGCCUUUUAGAGAAUGUUUCACUUAGACUCUUAUCAGAGAAACCUUUUUUGAAAACCAGACAUUCAGAUUAUCUGCUUCUGCACUUUUUUAUCUCUGUACCAAACUAUAUAUGAGGGUCUCAGAACCAAAGGAGAAAAGGCAGUAUAUGGAAGGUUUUCUCUAUGUGUUUUUUUUGGUUCAUUCUUUUAUGUUCAGCUGGCUUUUAAAAAUUGCUUUCUGUUUGCUACUGCUGGAGGAAUGUUGAAUGUUUUAGAAAGGGCAGGAGGGAUUGCGGAAUGUAUGAGGAACCACUGACUCAGAGGAAAGAAGUGGCAGGAGAGGAGGCUGUCAGUACAGAGCUUUCACAGAGCUUGAAGGAUUUGAAUCUUUGGCCUAAAAAUUGAAGGGAAGCAGUUGGAGAAUUUUAAGCUCCAAAAAAUUUAAUUCAGUUUACGUUUUUAAAAUGCUUUGUAUGAAGAUUGAAUUAGAGGGGAGCUAGAUAGGAUGCUGGAAGCUAAUGUUCAAGUGAGAAGUGGUAGUCGCUUAUGCUAUUUUGGUGGCAAAGUGGAGAAUCUGGUGGGGUGAGAAGUUUUGAAAAUGGGUUUAGAGGGUACAUUGACCAAAUUACAUUAUUGAUUGACUGUAGGGGUGAAAAACAUCACCUCCCUACCUUUAGAAGUUAUAAUUGAUGGUUUUGCUUUCAUUCAUUUUGCCAAAUUAUUUUAUCACCAGUUUGACUUUUUACUUUUCUUGUGGUUUUCCCAUUCCUUCUUAUGUCAUAUCUAAACUUUGGCUUUCUUCUUUUCAUAAUCUGUUCUCACUUUUUUUUUCAGUCUGUCUAGUCACUUUUAAUCUCUAGUUACUGCUACAUGUUCCUGAAUGUAUACUUGAUACUUUGUUAUCUUUCUUACCUCUCCUGUAAGUUUCUGGCACUAAGUAAGGACUCAAUAAUUAAGUGUUGAAAUGGGUAUCAUGAUGACGUGUGAUAAAUAUUGCCUUUUCAUAAAAAUAAAUGGAAACAUUUAAAUUAAAGGUACUGGCACUUGGUGGCCGUGGCAGCAGCAAUAGACAUUGGGGAUCUGGGCUGCCAGGAGCAGUUUCACUGGGUUUCACCCUCAGAGAUGGCCUUCGGGGCACACCAGCAAACCAAGAUGGAGUAUGAGUGGUAACUUGACAAGCAAGGGUUUCAGCAAAUCCUGAAGUUUUGAAGGAGUUCCCGUCCCCAGACACCACCAUCCAGAGAACUGUGCACCAAAAACUGGAACAGCUUAAUCAAUAUCUAGACUUUAACAACUACUUGAUUUUUGUUCUUACAAAAUUAAAAUCUGAGGAUGAACCCACAAGAUCAUUGAGUGGUCUCAUCUUGAAGAAUAAUGUGAAACAGGCUUUAUUAAAAGUGAAUGUUUAGAUAAUAUUGGUGACUCCUCUCCUCUGGUUAGAGCCACUGUUGGUAUUUUGAUCACAACUAUAGCCUCCAAAGGAGAAUUGCAGAAUUGGCCUGACCUCUUACCAAAACUGUAGCCUUUUGGAUUCUGAAUAUUAUAACACCUGUCAGGGAGCAUUUGACACCCUUCAGAAGAUUUGUGAAGAUUCUGCUGAGAUUUCAAAUAGUGAUGUUUUAGAUCAUCCUCUCAACAUCAAGAUUCCCAAAUUUUUACAGUUGUUCAAGCACAGUAGUCCGAAAAUAAGGUCUCACACUGUUGCACGUGUCUGUCUUCCCUCAAAUCAGUCUAUCAUCAGUAGGAUGUUGCACGUUGAUUCUUUUACUGUGUUUCACACUGAUUCUUUUAGUGAGACUCUGUUUGCAUUGGCUGGUGAUAAAGAACCAGAGGUAUGGAAAAAUGUGUGCCCAGCACUUGUGAUGUUGCUCCAAGUUCAAAUGGAUUGUCUGCUUCCUCACAUGCAUAGUAUAGUUGAGUACAUCCUACAGAGGACUCAAGAUCAAGAUGAAAAUGUGGCUUUAGAAGCCUGUGAAUUUUGGCUGACUUUAGCUGAACAGCCAUUAUGCAAAAAUGUACUUGUAAGGUAUCUUCCUAAGUUGAUUUCUGUGUUAGUGAAUGCCAUGAAUUAUUCAGAUAUAGAUACUGUCCUACUUAAGGAUGAAGUUGAAGAAGACAAGAUGAUUCCUGUUAGUGAACAGCAUAUACGGCCACAUUUUCACCGAUCAAGGACAGUGGCUGAGCAGCGUGAUGAAGAUGGAAUUGAAAAUGAAGACAAUGUUGAUGAUGAUGAUGAUGCAAUUUCUGACUGGAAUCUAAGAAAAUGUUUUGCUACUGCCCUAGGUGUUCUUGCAAAUGUGUAUCAUGAUGAACUACUGCCACAUAUUUUGCCCCUUUUGAAAGAAUUACUUUUUAAUCAUGAAUGAGUUGUUGAAGAAUCAGGCAUCUUGGUUUUAGGAGCCAUUGCUGAAGGUUGCGUGUGGGCGUGAUUCCAUACUUGCCUGAGCUUAUUCAGUGCCUCUUUGAUAGGAAGGCUCUUGUGUGUUCCAUAACAUGCUGUACUCUUAGCCGCUAUGCAUACUAGGUAGUCAGCCAGCCACCAGACACGUACCUGAAGCCAUUAAUGACAGAAUUGCUAAAGUGCAUCCUGGAUAGCAACAAGAGAGCACAAGAAGCUGCCUGCAGUUCACUAGGAAGCUUGUACAGAACUUGUUUCUUACCUUGCUUAUAUACUUGAUACCCUGGUCUUUGCAUUCAGUAAAUACCAGCAUAAGAACCUGCUCAUUCAUUACAUAUGCUAUAGGAAUAUUAGCAGAUUCAGUAAGAUAUCAUUCAAACAAAUCAGAAUAUAUUCAGAUGCUAAUGCCUCCACUGAUGAAGAUGUGGAACAUGUUAAAGGAUGAAGAUAAAGAUCUCUUCCCUUUACUUGAGUGCCUAUCUUUAGUUGCCACAACACUGCAGUCUGGCUUCCUUCUGUACUGUGAACCUGUGUAUCAGUGUUGUAUUAACCUAGUACAGAGGACACUUGCACAAGCCAUGCUAAACAGUGCUCAACCAGAUCAAUCUGAAGCUCCAGAUAAAUACUUUAUGAUAGUGGCUCUUGAUUUACUGAGUGGCCUGGCUGAAGGACUUGGAGGCAACAUUGAACAGCUGGUAGCCCGAAGUAACAUCCUAACACUAAUGUAUCCUAACACUAGUGCAUGCAGGAUAAAAUGCCAGAAGUUCAACAGAGUUCUUUUGGCCUAUUAGGUGACCUCACAAAAGCUUGCUUUCAGCAUGUUAAGCCUUGUAUAGCUGAUUUCAUGCCAAUAUUGGGAACCACCCUAAAUCCAGAAUUCAUUUCGGUCUGAAACAAUGCCACAAGGGCAGUUGGAGAAAGUUCCAUUCAAACGGGUAUAGAGAUGCAGCCUUAUAUUCUAUGGUGUUGGACCAGCUUGUAAAAAUCAUUAACAGAUCCAGCAUACCAAAGUUGUUAGAGAAUACAGCAAUAUUCUCUGACAACUGGUCAUCUUGGUGACAUUUAUCUUCAAGGGGUGACCCCGAUGCUACAGGAGUUUAUAAGACCCUGGUGCACCUCUCUGAGAAACAUAAGAGACAAUGAGGAAAAGGAUUCAGCCUUCCAUGGAAUUUGUACCAUGAUUAGUGUGAAUCUCAGUGGUGUAAUCCAAGAUUUUACAUUUUUUGUGAUACUGUUGCAUCAUGGAUUAACCUAAAAGAUGAUCUCAGAGACAUGUUCUGUAAGAUCCUUCAUGGAUUUAAGAAUCAUGUUGGUGAUGAAAAUUGGAGGUGGUUCUGACAGUUUCCUCUUCCCUUAAAAGAGCAUCUUGCAGCUCUUUAUGGUGUUUAAUCUAAUAGACUUAAACUGCAGUCCCAAAAUUAAUUAGGGGUCCUUCAGUCUUGGAGACUAUGGGGGAGCCUCUGUAGCCAGGGAAAAUGUUAAGGGGGUGGGGGAGAAGGGUAAACUGGUAGGGAAUACAAUACAUAAAAUCACAACCCUGCUGGGAGGGGUGGGAGGGAGGUUUUGCUGUCAAGUCUUUGUUGGAAUAGGUUUUAACAUCUGGACCUUUUGUGGGUGGAAAUAUGUCUCCAGUUACAGCUCCACACUGGAUUUGAAGAAGCAAAAAAAAAAAAAGUCUCUUUAGUCUACUCACAAAGCAGUACAUUGUGGAAUAUUACGGGGAAUUGUACCAAAGCAAGGACCAUCUAAGUGAUGCAUAGGGACAAGAAAGAGGAACAUUUCUAUAGCGUACAAUAAAGGAAACCUAAGAAUGGGACCUAAGAAUGGGAGUUAUAAAUAGUAAGGAAGCUUUUUUUUUUUAAAUUAAAAAAUAUUUAUAUAAGUUUUUCCAUAUUAUGGGGGCUUGUUUUGCGUGUUGAUGAAGAACUAUAUAAACAAAGCUAAUAUAGUUAAAAAUCAGCUUGCCUUCCCAUGGGAGUAGCAGGUUCUUGGAAGUUGCAAUUUAAGGUACCCCCAAAAAGCUGGAAAUAAAACAAGCAUAAACAGUGAAGCACCAAAUGAGUCACUCCUUUUACCUUUUUUGGGGUGGGGAAGGAGGGAGGAAUAGAUGGGUUAGGGCAUAUCAAACUAAAGAUGACAUCUUAAUUUUGUUUUGAACAUUAAUGUAGCGUGUAUAAAUUUGAUGGUUGUACUUCAUCAGAUUUAAUUUUAGGCCAAGAUGUUAUUUUUUGAAGUACAGUUUAAGGUUCAGGCAUGCAUUCUGGCUCACAGUGGUUGAAAGUAAUUUAAAUUAGUGGGAAAGUAGCAUGGUUGCAUUGCAUAGAGAGAUUGAUAUUCAUUUACCUAUGUUGUAAAUUCCUUAAAGUUCCUUUUUAAGAUUUGUGGAUUUUAUUUUUAUUAAGAAUAUAGAUAUAUAAAGUAACUAUAGUUUACAGCUAGACCUUGAAAUAUCUUCUUUAGGAUCUGUUAGGAAUAAGAUUGAUACUGUAUUGUGUUUAACCUGCACAGUGUGGAAAGUUGAUAUACUUGUGCAAAAUCUUUGCCUCUGUACUGUCAAUGUGAUGUGCUUUUUACAUGGUUAUAUGCUACUAGUGAUUUUAUCAAAACUUCUAAAAUUUAAAUUACAAGGUAAAAGAUCUGUAAAAGGCUGCAUAAAUGUUAGUUAGCACAUAAAGACAAUUGUAGAAGUUGAAAAAUGAUUGCUGUAUUUCAGUGUUUAUUCCCAUUCAGCAUACCGCCUUCUAAGCUUCCUUUUUUGUUGUUCAAAGCACGAUCUUAAAGAUAUGUUUAAGUUAAUGGCCGCAAUUCCUACACUGUAUUUUGUGCAUGUUGUGUGGCCCUCUGUGCCCUAGAUAUAUGCACACAGGGUGCAAAUUAAAAGCUGCAGAGUGAAAGUUGGUUUGGAUCCUCUUCAUUUUAUUUGUUUAGCUUUUCCGUUAUUUUUCUCUACUUACAUAUAUUUCUGUGAAUAAAUCCUUGUUAAAUUAA